ensembl:snRNA U6 U6 spliceosomal RNA
GUGUUCACUGUGGCAGCACUUAUACUAAAAUUGGAACGAUACAGAGAAGAUUAGCAUGGCCCCUGCGCAAGAAUGACACCCAAACUCAUGAGCGUUCCAUAUUUUA